rnacentral:tRNA from 1 species
GGUCCCUUAGAUCAGUUGGUUAGAUCGUGGUGCUAAUAUCGCUAACUGUAGUUUAGGUCGCGAGUUCGAUCCUCGUAGGGACCA